UCACUUCUUCAUGAUUCUGCAUUUUUCAUUCUUGAAUCUCCACCUCCAAUCCUUCGAUCUUCACCCUCUCAGUUUAUUCUGCAACAAGUCUUCAUUCUGCAAAAUCUCCUCAUUCUGCUCCACCUUCAUCAUCUUCCUGCUUCAUCUUCCUCUUCUGUUUCACCUCAUAUCCCACAUUCAUCUUUUGCGGUGUCCUCAUUCUGCUCCACCUUCAUCAUCUUCCUGCUUCAUCUUCCUCUUCUGUUUCACCUCAUAUCCCACAUUCAUCUUUUGCGGUGCAAAUCAAUCGCACAACAACCUCGCACAAUAACACAACAACA
rnacentral:lncRNA from 1 species